GGACACCCAGGAACUGGAUGAGAGAGAGAGGGUUCAGUUCUCUGAGUACCACCGAAGUCUGCUAGAGGUCAAGUGAAAGGAGGCACUAUGGAUACAGGCUUCUGCAGCCUGGAUCCACCACCUGGACACCUGGCCCCCUUCCCUCCCUGCCCUCCCACCUCUCCUCACAUUCCAGCCUAACACUGGCCUCCAGAAGACGUGGAAAUGUCCCUGCGCAUGGGGGGCUCAGUUCUAAGAGCUGAACUGGGGGAUCGAUUGGCCAAAGAUAAGAACCACUUCUCCAGGCUCAGAACACCUUAUUCUCCCAUCUUCCUUCCCAAUGGACAGGGAUGGAAGGAGAAAGCAAGAGACGGUCUGGAAGGACUGUGGCUGCAAAGAAUCGACGUCUCGCCCGCAGCUUGUAAGCAGACAAUCCACAGAGGGAGAGAAGGACGUACGAACAGCUCUGUUUAAUGGAAAAUUACACUAGAUUCUAAAGCAGGAAGUCCACUGUUUUACAUAAAAGGAGAUUUUCACAGCAUUUAGUGACACUGGACAGAGUGUCUUGAAUUUUAUGGCUUUAAUUGUACCUCAGUGCAAUAAAGCAUUCUGCAAAGCUUUUGUGUGCUAGAAAUUCUAAGGAGAAAAUGGCUACAGAGCUGAGAGCAGGCAAACCAGAAGCUGAGAGAAAUCUGCUUGGAGUUCGGACAGAGGUAGGGUUGAGCGUCCAAGGGUCCAGCUGAAGAGGUGGUGCCCAGAUGCUGUGACGCUUAUGGUCCAACCAGCCAAGAAUGGGAGGGCGAGGAUGCCACACAGAGGUUCAGCACCCCAGGGAGCAGGCAGAGGCUGCGUGUUCAUUUUCCUGUCAUAAAUUUGGAAAUCCGAAAGCACCCACUGCAUGUGGGCAGCUGCAUGGAACUUUUACGUGGCAUUUCGUGGCAGCCUCUGGACAAAGCAGCAAGUUGGGUGCUACUUAUGUAACCAUUUUGCAGAUGAGGAAACUGAGGCUCUUGAGAAUCAGUGUGACUUGUGAAAGCUGGCUUAGGUAGUACAGGACAGACCCAGCAUUAGAAUCCAGGCUUUCUUGGUUAAAACACAGCUUGAGAGAGGGCCAGCGGUGGUUAUGUGCUUCCACGGAAUUCAAGGGCAUGAAAGAGGACAGAAGUCACUGAGACACCCCCAAACCCUGGCUCUGACCAGUUCAGGCUCCCUGGAAAAUCUAGGGGAACUCGGCACCUCUCCCAAAGGCUCUUCUCAGGAAAGAUGCUGGGAAUUUGCUGAGAAGUCUGAGCGAGGUGGGACCAGGGCAGAAGGUGUCAGCAGAGGGGGCCCCAGGCCACAGCAGAAAUGGCCAGAUUUUAGCCUCUGCAGGGGGUCCGGAGGGGACGGGCUCCACCCAGCAGCAUUCAGGAGCAACAGGGGAUGACAGUCCGUCGGGGGUGGCGGUGAGAGAGAGGAGACCAUGUGUACCCAACAGUACGUACAGAAUGAGUUACAGAAUUUCCAGGGCCUUGUGCAAAGUGAAAAUGUGGCUUCUUGUUCAGAAGCAUUAAGCACUUCAAAAUGGUGACAGCAGAGAAUUAAACCAAGCAUGGGGACCUUAUAAGCCCGGGGCCCCGCUGACUGACAGGUCACGCGCGCGAUCACACGCGGUGACCGGCUUCCCUCGUAGCUGCCGUGAUAGACGUCUCUGUGGAGGAGGAGUGUUGCAAGGGAGAGUGGCUGGGCAGGUCGGAGAUUCUGACUUCUCUUCCUCCCCCAGAUUCACUCAAAAUAGCUGAGUUACAACAGCCUCCAAUUUAUCAGGUAGGCUCUCGUCCCAAGUGCUUGACUGGAUCAUCGCUCCUCUCCCACAACCCGCCUUUCCACCCAAGAAAAGUGAGGCUGCGAGGCUGGGACACCCACAGCAGCUGGAGGAAAGGCAAGAUCUGAACCCGGGUCUCUGGACUCCGAAGCUCUCCCCCGCUUCUGUGCGUUGCCUCUACCUCUGAACCCUGCAAGAAAUGGAGAUUUUAGGAGCUUCUGGAAGGGAAGCUGAUAGCUCCACACUAGGUCAGUGUUUCUCCAACUCCAGUCUUUUAUAGAUCACUUCCACAACUGUUAGCCAUAUUUUCAAUCCACCUAUCAUUGGUGGGGUUGGUAAUUAAGUUUUUAUUUAUUUAACUUAAUGGAGGUACUGGGGAUUGAACCCAGGACCUCGUGGGUGCUAAGCAGGCACUCUGCCACUGAGCUGUGCCCACCCCCUAUUAAUUCACUUUUUUUUUUUUUUAAAACAUUAGCCUCAUCAUAAAAUGUAACCGUGAAAUUAUGGGUUUGGUGCGCUAACUGCAUGCUUUCUCUAGCACACAUUAAAAUAAAUAAACUCUCUGUCCUACCUAGAAUGUCCUUCUGUAAAUGCAUCCUAUGAACAUGUUCACAGAUGUGUGAAAUAACGUCUACAGUAUGCAAGAACAUUUCGCUGGAACAUUGUUAUGGUAGUAUAUAAUUAGAAACAACGUCACUGUUUCUCAAUAGGACCCUGAUUAUAUGAAGGAAAGCUACACAGCCAUUAAAAAAAAAGGGGAGGAAGCUCUCUUUGUCCUGAUAAGGAACUGUUGUUAGGAAGAAAGAGCAAGGUGCAGAACUGGGUAUCAAAUGUGAUGUGUACAAAGGGGGAGGCAAUAGGGGUCUAUGUUUGUAUAUGCUUAAAAUCUCUUCUGAGAAAAGACUGCCAAUAAAGCAAUGUAAAUCGUUCCUAGUGGGCGGGAAGUGUUUGGCAGUGAUGGAAGGAAAACUUUUCAUGUUUGUUCACUUUGAACCAUGUGAAUGUAUUAUCUGUCCAAAAAAUUAAAUGAGCUAAAAUACUACAAUCUUUAUUAUGAUGGGAAUGUUCAUCCACAUGCUGCCUAAAAUCAUCUGGUGAGACAUCGAUGGUAAGUGUUUCUACUUGGGAAACACAGCUCUGAUGGGUUUGACUCACAUGAAUGGGGUGAUGGUCUUGGUCGACGGCUGUCAAGCAGGUGGAAGUCCUGGACAGGUGGGCCAACCCGAGUGCUGAGAAGGACCUGGAAGAAGCCCAUCAUUAAGCCAGGCUCUUCAGUCAUAUUCUGUGCCAAUGCGGUCCAUGUUGACUGCCCUGAAGCCCAGCAAAGAAGCUGAGCCCCAGAGAGAAGGGGCUGUGUCCCUUCGUGAAGACUACGUGAGGUGUGUCCUCUCUGGCUGCUGGACUGUGACCUGAUGGGAAUAAUGACUGACUGAAAUGGGGGCUUUCUAGACAAGGUCUCCUAGUCUGAGCCCAGGGUUCUGGGGAAAGAGAGGUGAACGCCUGCCAGGUCAGGAUGGGAGCCCAGGAUGACAGACAGGCACCAUGAAUAGGAAAGGGUGUAGGCAAGAAUGUUCCGAGGUAGGGAGUUGGUGUGUGUCUCCUGCGCAGGUCAACAGAGAGAUUACUCAGGCCCCUGGGUGGGUGGUUGAGUCAGGAGCCAACUGACAGAAGAGGUGGUUGCACUUAAAAAAAAAAAAAAAAAAAGAGGUGGUUGCAC